CAGAAUGAAGAAGAGGAGAAGGGAAAAAAUGCCAAGAGUGAGCAACAAAGACAUCAAUAUCACAUAUCAAAAACUUGUGUACAAUCACUAAUUUCUUUCCCAUUUUUUCUUUUUCCUCACUC
rnacentral:ribozyme from 13 species